rnacentral:rRNA from 2 species
CGUGCCUAAUACAUGCAAGUCGAACGAGUUCUCGUUGAUGAUCGGUGCUUGCACCGAGAUUCAACAUGGAACGAGUGGCGGACGGGUGAGUAACACGUGGGUAACCUGCCCUUAAGUGGGGGAUAACAUUUGGAAACAGAUGCUAAUACCGCAUAGAUCCAAGAACCGCAUGGUUCUUGGCUGAAAGAUGGCGUAAGCUAUCGCUUUUGGAUGGACCCGCGGCGUAUUAGCUAGUUGGUGAGGUAAUGGCUCACCAAGGCGAUGAUACGUAGCCGAACUGAGAGGUUGAUCGGCCACAUUGGGACUGAGACACGGCCCAAACUCCUACGGGAGGCAGCAGUAGGGGA